UUGCGCACGGUUCAGUGGUAGGAAAACUAGGAGGAAUCGUUCAGUAAAGUCCCGAGAUCCGUUCGCUAUUCCCCGACUCGAAUAAAAUCCAUAUACACAUAUAUAUCAUAUAAACAAAGGAAAGGAGUCCUCAGAGAAGAGAAUAACGUGUUAAAAGUAGCAAAAACCAAUUAAAAAAAAGAAGUGUGCAAUAAGUAAAGAAAGCAGAGACCCAAGGAAAGUUGAAAGUUCAAAACCAGAAUCUCGUCGAGAACAAAACAAAAAGUCCCCAAAAACACACACACACAAACACACGCACGCAACAAAAUGAGUGUCUGUGAGAGCAAAGCCGUUGUGCAACAGCAACUGCAGCAGCACUUGCAGCAACAGGCAGCCGCAGCAGUUGUUGCGGUCGCGCAACAGCAGCAGGCUCAGGCCCAAGCUCAAGCCCAAGCCCAGGCCCAGGCUCAGGCGCAGCAGCAAGCGCAGCAGCAGCAGGCGCCGCAGGUGGUGGUCCCCAUGACCCCGCAGCACUUGACGCCGCAGCAGCAGCAGCAAAGCACACAGAGCAUCGCCGACUAUCUGGCCCAGUUGCUCAAGGACCGCAAGCAGCUGGCCGCCUUCCCCAACGUCUUCACCCACGUCGAACGCCUGCUGGACGAAGAAAUUGCACGCGUGCGCGCCUCACUGUUCCAGAUCAAUGGGGUCAAGAAGGAGCCCCUCACCCUGCCCGAGCCCGAGGGCUCUGUGGUGACGAUGAACGAGAAGGUUUAUGUGCCAGUGCGUGAGCAUCCAGAUUUCAACUUUGUCGGUCGCAUUUUGGGACCCCGUGGCAUGACCGCCAAGCAAUUGGAGCAGGAGACCGGCUGCAAGAUCAUGGUCCGAGGCAAGGGCUCCAUGCGCGACAAGAAGAAGGAGGACGCCAACCGUGGCAAGCCCAACUGGGAGCAUCUGUCCGAUGACCUGCAUGUCCUGAUAACCGUCGAGGACACCGAGAACCGUGCCACAGUAAAGUUGGCCCAGGCCGUGGCUGAAGUACAGAAGUUGCUCGUGCCGCAAGCCGAAGGCGAAGAUGAGCUAAAGAAACGCCAACUCAUGGAAUUGGCGAUUAUUAAUGGCACUUAUAGGGACACAACAGCGAAAUCUGUCGCAGUGUGCGAUGAGGAGUGGCGCCGCCUGGUGGCCGCCUCCGAUAGCCGCCUGCUGACGUCCACCGGCCUGCCCGGCCUUGCCGCCCAGAUCCGUGCCCCCGCCGCCGCCCCGCUGGGCGCCCCCUUGAUACUGAAUCCCCGGAUGACCGUCCCCACAACGGCGGCCAGCAUACUGUCCGCCCAGGCAGCUCCGACCGCCGCCUUCGACCAGACCGGCCAUGGAAUGAUCUUCGCACCGUACGAUUAUGCGAACUACGCCGCCCUAGCCGGCAAUCCUCUGCUCACGGAAUAUGCUGAUCAUAGCGUUGGUCGAUAUAUGCAUGCCGGCUCCGUCUUUUGAACUUCUUUUUCUCACUCUCUAUUAUUUUUCCCUUGAGCAAAAGCAACAAAAACAGAGAACGAUUUGUAGAGGAAAACCCCACAUGAAAUGUUUAGCUUAAAGUUAUGAAGUUACAGUCACACACAAACUGAAACAGAAUUAUACACACGCACAUAAAUGUAUAGACUGUAUAUAUUUUUAAAAUUAUACAUAUAUUUACCUAGAGACAAAAACCAUAAGAGUAAAACGGCACAUCAAACAGGAAAACAGAAAUACUCAAGAAAAUACAAGCAAAGAAUUAAACUACAACAAUAAUUAUUGCUCGACAAUGAAUUUGCUUUUUUAUGUUGUUUAUUAGAUUUUAGGCCGCAAUGCAACACACAUUUCUGCAAUAUGCAAUAUUGGCAAAAAUAAGUGAUUUUUAGGCCCUUAAAUUGUAGUUGCUUUAAUUUAACUAUAACCUAAAUACAUAUAUGAUUUUCCACCCGAAACAUUUUUAUAUGAGUAUAUUCUAGUUGAGAACAACAACAACAGCGGCAUCCAAAGCAAGUUGUUGAUUUUCAUUUUUUGGAACCCACGAGUAUUCAAAUUAAAGAGGGCUAAACUUUAUCAUUUUCUCUUCUGAAUAAUAACCCUAUUUUAGUUUAUAUUUUUUUUUGUGGUAUGAGGGUCGAGUCGUAAGUGCAAUCUAGUUAAGUGUCUGUUUUUUAUGUAGUUUAUGUAGUGAGUGUUGCGAUGGGGGGACAGUAUUUAUGCACAAAUGUACCUAACGAAGAGCGAAAAGGAAACCGUUUCAAUUUUUCCAGCCAGUGCCAUUUCUCGUCAAAACCGUAUACUUUGAACAGAAUUGCAGAAAAGCUUUUUUUUAUAUAUAUACACAUAUAAUAUUAUAUAUAACUCUUAGUGGAAAGGAGCCUUGAAUCAAGUUGGUGCUUAAAUCAUAACUUCAGUUAGUUCUAAGUUUAGUCGAGGCUCAAAGGCAGCCGUCCAAGAACAGAAACCAGAAACCCGAGACCAUUAUCCAGAAUCAAUUGAAUGCACGACUAGUCAGCAAGCUGGAGGAACAAAAUGCAAUAUAUGAUUCGGGAGAAUAAUCAUUUCUAGAAUCUCUAGCAAUGAACUCGAGACGAAUUACCUAGGCUUAGCGGCUUGAAAAUCACUUAUUUUGCAGCCAAAUCAAAUCAAUAAAAAAAAAAAACAAAAAUACAAAAAAAAAUUCAGAUCAGAUCAAAUAUCGAAUCCAUAAGCGCAUAUAUAAACGACUCAUUCCAAAGAAGCAGAGAAUUUAAAUGUUACAAAGUGAAAGAACACAGAUUACGAAAAACAGGUCGAUAAUUCCCCCUCAGUUGGCAAUUGGCUUCCAGCAAAGGCAGCACAGCUUCAGUUUUGAGCAAGCAAAUGGUAGAUGUAAGGACGAUGUAUGCUAAAUGCAAUAUCUAUUAGACCUAAGUUGUACCCUGUAGCGAUGAUGUUCACAUCUAUUUAUACAUAUGCAAUCUAUAUGCAAACCUAUAUGCAAACCCAUAUCUACAUGUAUCGUAUCGUAUAUUUUAGUAGGCGCCAUUAAGCAGCAGCGUCGUUUGGCGACUAACCGCGAGCAUCCCUAUCAGCGAGCAACGGUCGGAGUGCCAGCCAAGCCGGCGGGUUUCAUCGAGAUACAGUAAAUACUAAAUACAAUGCAGAGUGAAUCUCGAGAUAAGCGAAGCUUUGCACUAUAACUCAGAAUGUAACACUUUAAAAUCACAGCAACAUAUCGGCGAAAGCAACUUUACAAACUUUUUAUCCAUAAUGUACGAAAAAGAACAGAAACCCUUGUAUGAACAACGGAAAUCGGCGACCGAGCGGUCACUUUAGUUCAAUUAUUUUAAAUUUUUUGCUAUUUAUUUUGAUACAAAUGCUGCUCAUAACUGAACAUCCUCCACCAACUCCGCCCCGCAAAUCCACACUGUAUAUCCGAUGAAACCUGGCCGGAAACGUUGGCCUGGCCUGGCCGCUCUGCCCUGAUAAUGGGUUCUGAAAAAGAAUUUUCAAGCGCACCGCCUCCACAGAAAAUAUAUAUAUAUAUCCAAAAGAUAUAUAAAUAUGCCAAUAAAAAAUCCAACGGAAACUAAACAAAUGUCCUAAACACACUACCAAUCCGCUCCUACAUCCGCCAUGAACCAUGAAUCCAUCGCCUGCCCUAGAUGAGCACGGAAUCAGAGCAGCAGCAGCAUCCCAGCCAUCCCAGCCAUACCAGCCAUACCAGCAAUCCCAGCCAGGCCGAAAGCAGAGCCAAGUGUGUGUUGUGAAUGUGCUUACUUGAAGCUAACAAAAAACAAAACAAAAACAAAACAAAAAACCGUAACCAAAAGCCAGAAAUCUGAGCCAACACAUGUCACUUACACAACUACUAAAACACUGAACCCCGAACUCUGAACUCUGAACUUAUUUGCCACAUGAGCAGCAGAUGCACCAGAUGCAGCACAUUCAACACCUGCAGCAGCACAGCAGCAAAAGCAACAGCAACAGCAAAAGAACAGCAGCAACAUCAGUAUGUAUUGAAUCUUGUGGCCAUUAAACUGUUACGUUUUGCCCGAAACAAAACAAGGCAAUUAAGCAAACAAUUGAUAAGAGAAUCAAACAUAGAGCUUAGUUUAAUUAUCAUAAUCUAAAGCAAAAUACAAGUUAGUUCUUAGUGUAAAAGUUCAACGAACAAAAACAUACUUAAUGCAAGCAUAUACAUAUAUAUAUUUUAUAUAUUUAAAUAUAUACAUCCAAAUGCAUAUACAAGUCUGUAUAUAAUAACCCCCAAAAAACCCCUAACAACAAAAAACUAAGAAAAAUCAUGUUAACGGAAUCUCAUCCAAGAAACUCUACUCAACCAACCAAAACUGUUUUAAUUUUUUUUAAAAAUCCGCCCUUUUAACUCAAAUUGCAAAGAUGAAUCUUUAAGCUUUUUCAUUGUUUCAUCCUUUAAUGGAUUGUGCAAGAAGUCUAUUCAAAUCCUUAUUGUGUCGGAUAUAGAUUUUCACCCCUCGAUUAAGCAUAAUCUAUUUUUGUUAAACUGACGCUAAUUCUUGUUAAUGAAGUAUUUUUUGAUUAUGUUAUUGCAUAUCUAUAUUUUAUGUAUAGAUUUCGUACCCCACUUCAAAUUGAUUGUGUGAAAAGUAAGUGGGGGCGAAACGGAAACAACAUAUUAAACACAUUUAACAGCCAUAUUUAGUUAAUGAAACAAACAUAUAUUAUGAUAAUAGCAUCAAGCAUUCAUAAUGUACAACUAAACGCUAAACUUAAAUUAUUUUUAAUAUUUUAAAGCUAAUGUAUUAUAUGCAGAAAUAAACACAAACUUACUUUUUUAAACGACUAAUUGUUCUUUGAAAGCGAUGGCCACAACAAAAAAGAAUUCUUUAAUUUAAAAUAAAUAUCACACCGCCAGUCAUGGCAAAAAUGAAACUAUUCUAUAAUAGUUAAUAAAAUAAAAGAAAUGCAGAAAAUUAGCACAGAACAAAACUAGAAAGCGAAAGUAAAUUGCAUUUAAUUUAUGGUACAAAGCAGGCAACGCAAAGUUGUUGCAAACUUUAUUUUAAAUUAAAGAAUUUGCAUUCAAUUUUUGUUGAGAAAAGGCAAUCUUAUCAAUAUGUGCCUUAAACAAGUUGUAUAAUUGGCACAUAAUCAAAAUAAAAACUAAAUUAAAUUUAAAACAAAUGAAAAGUAUACAGAAACUCUGUUGAAAUUAUUCUGCGAAAUGUGAGACUUAUACUCAGCAACAAAACGAUGUUCAACCGCGUGGGAGUUGACUAAUCUUUUAAUGUUAAUAAAUCAUAAUCAUAAUGUAUAACUUUUAUUGAUAAUGACGGCAAUCGUGCAAUCGUAGCAAACCUUGCUUAUGAUGAGUUCAGAAUUAAUUUUAACACGAUGAAAAUAUAAUUCUUUCGAUAAUUGAAUAACAGAAAGUAGACGAAUCGUCUAGUUUUAUUCGCAUUACAUUAAUCGUAUGCUGUGCCCCCAACAUCGCAUUAUAAACAUCAUUCAUCUCCAUUGCCAGCAUUGUAUAAUUUUAACUUCAUAAUUUGUGAAGUAAAUCAUUGAUUUUUUAUGAGGUAAUCCAUAUGUUCAAAACCUAAUAAUAUAUAUAUAAAAAAAAUGCACAUGUAAUUAAACGCAUA